CAAAGACGUUUUGAUAAUAAAUCGGAUACGAGCUUUCUACUUGGCACUCACAUUCACUUAGAGAUGAUACUCGUUUCAUUUUUGAGUCAGUGUUUGUGUCCUGGUGCAAGGUGGCUGAGAGCAGGUUCCGCCGCUGAUUUUUUUCCGAGCCCCCCACCAACCCCAUAGCCUUGUUAAAUAAAUUAUCUGUGCUCGCCUUAUGUUUGGGCUUUCAACCCCCACCCCCCACCCCACGCCCAAUAAGUCGCUUCAAUUACAUUCAACUUGACGUUAAUAUUUUUUGCUUACUCAAAAGCCGUAUUCGGCACAAAUAAUUUUCCUAAGGCUAAUAACCUAUUCAUACAUAACAGCUAUAAACAAUAAGGGUUUUCUUGUUUUCCGUGUCAGUGAUCUCCAGUUUGCCCAACCCUAAGCAACCUGGCGAACCUUGUUGCAAUUAAAAGGGGAUUGUACUUCCACCUAUAUUCCCAUCCAUCUUUACUAGCUCUGUUAUUAGUGGCGCUUUGUAUUUUUUAUUGGUGGUGGUGAUGGUGGUGGUGGUGGUGGUUUGAGACAGAGUCUCACUCUAUUGCCC
rnacentral:lncRNA from 10 species